UGGCGUCUUCGGCGUCCGCAUUGUAAUCUCAAGAAGUGUUUUCCGCUUCGGACCAUGCCUAAGUCCCUUGGAAAAGGGCAUCAUAGAGGGUGAUAAUCCCGUACAUGGCAUGGAGCGCCCGAGGCUUUGUGAUACGCUUUCUAAGAGUCGAGUUGUUUGGGAAUGCAGCUCAAAAUGGGUGGUAAAUGCCAUCUAAGGCUAAAUAUUGGGGAGAGACCGAUAGCGAACAAGUACAGUGAUGGAAAGAUGAAAAGAACUUUGAAAAGAGAGUUAAACAGUACGUGAAAUUGCCAAAACGGAAGGGUAGGAGGUCAGAGAUGCGUCUUGGGAUUCAGCCUUGCUUUUGCUUGGUGUUUUUCCCAAGUUGCAGGCCAACGUCGGUUUUGGGCACUGGAGAAGGGUGGAAGGAACGUGGCACCUCUCGGGGUGUGUUAUAGCCUUCUACUGGAUACAGCGACCGAGACCGAGGACAGCAGCGUACUCGCAAGAGCGGGCCUUCGGGCACCUUUACGCUUAGGGCGUUGGCAUAAUGGCCCUCUACCACC
rnacentral:rRNA from 1 species